rnacentral:tRNA from 1 species
GCACAUGUGGCCGAGUGGUUAUUUUUACACUAAAGGCGAGAGAUUAGAAUUCUUGAAAAUCUCUUGGGAUUUUCCUUCGCAAGUUCGAAUCUUGCCAUGUGCG